AGCCUGAACGCUGGCGGCGUGGUUAAGACAUGCAAGUCGUACGGUGUAGCGAAUACACAGUGGCGAACGGGUGAGUAAUGAAUCGCUAAUGUACCCCGGACUUUGGGAUAGCUGCCCGAAAGGGCAGGUAAUACCAGAUGAUAUAACUUUGUCGCAUGACAGAGUUCUCAAAGGUCCGCCGGUCUGGGAGCAGGCGAUUUCGUAUCAGCUAGUUGGUAAGGUAACGGCUUACCAAGGCGACGACGCGUAGCCGGACUGAGAGGUUGGCCGGCCACAUUGGGACUGAGACACUGCCCAGACUCCUACGGGGGGCUGCAGUAACGAAUCUUCCGCAAUGCACGAAAGUGUGACGGAGCGACGCCGCGUGUGGGACGAAGCCCUUCGGGGUGUAAACCACUGUCAAGGGAAGAAAGUUCUGAUCUACCCUAGAGGAAGAGGCGGCUAACUCUGUGCCAGCAGCCGC
rnacentral:rRNA from 1 species